rnacentral:rRNA from 1 species
UACGUAGGGUGCAAGCGUUGUCCGGAAUUAUUGGGCGUAAAGAGCUCGUAGGCGGUCUGUCGCGUCGGAUGUGAAAACCCAGGGCUCAACCCUGGGCCUGCAUUCGAUACGGGCAGACUAGAGUUCGGUAGGGGAGACUGGAAUUCUCGGUGUAGCGGUGAAAUGCGUAGAUAUCGAGAGGAACACCUGCGGCGAAGGCGGGUUGCUGGGCCAUAACUGACGCUGAGAAGCGAAAGCAUGGGGAGCGAACAGG